rnacentral:tRNA from 1 species
UUUUUGUUGAUAAUGGGAUUUUGAAAAUCUCAGUGGAUCUAGUUACGGAUCGCUUAGAG